rnacentral:rRNA from 1 species
UACAGGGGGGGGCAAGCGUUUGUUCGGAAUUACUGGGCGUAAAGGGCUCGUAGGUGGCCAACUAAGUCAGACGUGAAAUCCCUCAGCUUAACUGGGGAACUGCGUCUGAUACUGGAUGGCUUGAGUUUGGGAGAGGGAUGCGGAAUUCCAGGUGUAGCGGUGAAAUGCGUAGAUAUCUGGAGGAACACCGGUGGCGAAGGCGGCAUCCUGGACCAACACUGACACUGAGGAGCGAAAGCCAGGGGAGCAAACGGG